GCUCGGUUAGCUCAGUCUGUAGAGCAUCAGACUUUCAAUCUGGGUGUCGGGGGUUGGAGCCCCAUAUCGGGCG
rnacentral:tRNA from 1 species